GCGUGGCUGGCUCAAUUGGUAGAGCAUUUGACUUCUAAUCAAAAGGUUGUAGGUUCGAGCCCUACGUCGCGUG
rfam:Pseudocohnilembus persalinus scaffold2308, whole genome shotgun sequence.